AACGAACGCUGGCGGCAUGCCUAACACAUGCAAGUCGAACGCCCUCUUCGGAGGGAGUGGCGCACGGGUGCGUAACGCGUGGGAACCUGCCCUUAGGUUCGGAAUAACUCAGAGAAAUUUGAGCUAAUACCGGAUAAUGUCUUCGGACCAAAGAUUUAUCGCCUUUGGAUGGGCCCGCGUUGGAUUAGCUAGUUGGUGGGGUAAAGGCCUACCAAGGCGACGAUCCAUAGCUGGUCUGAGAGGAUGAUCAGCCACACUGGGACUGAGACACGGCCCAGACUCCUACGGGAGGCAGCAGUGGGGAAUAUUGGACAAUGGGCGAAAGCCUGAUCCAGCAAUGCCGCGUGAGUGAUGAUGGCCUUAGGGUUGUAAAGCUCUUUCGUGGGGGAAGAUAAUGACGGUACCCCAAGAAGAAGCCCCGGCUAACUCCGUGCCAGCAGCCGCGGUAAU
rnacentral:rRNA from 1 species